rnacentral:tRNA from 1 species
CCUGCUAGCUCAGAUGGUAGAGAAUCUGCCUACAAUGCAGAAGACCAGGGUUUGAUCCCUGGGUCAGGA